GUGUCUGUGUGUGUGCGUGCCUGUCUGUGUGCGUGCGUGCGUGCGUGCGUGCAUGCAUGUGUACGUGUCUGUCUGUGUGUCUAUGUGUUUGUCUGUGUGACUGACUAUGUGUUUGUGUGUGUGUCUGUCUGUCUGUGUGUGUUUGUCUGUCCGUGUGUGUGUUUGUCUGUGUGUGUGUGUGUGUGUUUGUCUGUAUGUGUGUGUGUGUGUGUGUCUGUCUAUGUAUGUUUGUCUGUCUGUCUAUACCCGUUCUAUGUGUGUGUUUAUCAGUGAGUGUGUGUGUCUGUCUGUGUGUGUGUUUGUCUAUGUAUGUGUUGUGUGUAUCUGUCUGUGUGUCUGUCAGGUAGUCAUAGAGAAACAGAUAAAGCUUCAGAAUAUAAAUUUCAAUUUUAUUGAAUUCACUGUAUAUUGCAUAAGGAUCACUAACAUAGGUGUGAUAUACUGUACAUCUACUGGAGUACACCGACUUUUCAGAAACUUUUUGAUAUGUCAUCCAUACGCAGCCUGGCAUGAAACCGCUUCUGUUUGUCUAUUUGAAUUACAACAGUGGAUCUACAUAGGCUAGCUUAACUAUGACAUCAUAAUAUAACACGUAAUGUGAUGUCAUAAUAGAGUAAUGACAUCAGCUUUUUUUUUUCUUUUUUUUUUUGGCUAGAGUUAUCUUCCUUGACAAAUAUUCUUCUUCAUACAAAGGUCUCUUAUUUUGACUUACGUUUAUUAGAUAAAAGCAUGAUAUCAGGGUCAUUUAUUAAAGAUGUGACGGUUUAGACGAACCAAUUUUUAGGGCAACUUUCUCAUUGAAAUAAGUUUUUUUGAACUUGAAAAAACAAAAAACAGACUCUCCAGGAUUGCUCAAGUUAACAUCCUUACUGGCCAUUUCAGGUUUUUUUUCCCCCUACAAUUCCUUUUAUUUCACAUCAAAUUUCCUUUACAUACAAUUCUAGUCUUUAUUUGGAAUCAAAAUCACAUGUAUUUCACUCAGUUCUGGGUCUUUUAUUCUAUUUUCAACUUUACCAAGGGGAAGAACUCUGCUGGAAACAGUGAUGGGAAGAGGGCAGUUUUUGUUCACUCAUUUCAAGAUAUAAUCAAAACAAUAACUCCCCAUGUAUGAUACAUCAUUUUAUUCGGAAAAACUUAAAUUUUUAAACAGUAUAGGUAUUUCAUGAUGUCGUAGAAUUUCCGCAGUCUUUAAAGUCUCAAUAUACCUGGCGAAUUGCCAAUACGAAGCUAAAGUGACCAGGGUUAAAAUGUAAAUAUGUUAAAAGAGUAUUUUAUAGAAUUUAAAUAGUUUCAUUGUUAUUGAUAUCUGUAUUAAUAUAGGGAGGUGACCAUUCUACAUUGAUCCAGUGCCUUUUUAUGGGAUUCGAAACUGUGACUGUGAGAUGUAUGAGAGUUUGACUUCUAGGCGGGCAAUUCUACUUUCACUUUAAACGGAUGGCAGGUGCCUGAGUGUAUCUCGACCCAUUUCCAGGCUAGCAUCAGAUGUCAUGAUGGACCUUUAAAAUCUUUCACAUGUGUACUUUCAAGAACCAUAUACAUUAUUUUUGAAAAUUGGUUGCCAUGGUAAUAAAAUCUGAAAAUUAAAA